rnacentral:rRNA from 1 species
UACGUAGGGACCAAGCGUUGUUCGGAUUUACUGGGCGUAAAGGGCGCGUAGGCGGCGUGACAAGUCAGUUGUGAAAUCUCCGAGCUUAACUCGGAACGGUCAACUGAUACUGUUGUGCUGGAGUGCAGAAGGGGCAAUCGGAAUUCUUGGUGUAGCGGUGAAAUGCGUAGAUAUCAGGAGGAACACCUGUGGUGAAGACGGGUUGCUGGGCUGACACUGACGCUGAGGCGCGAAAGCUUGGGUAGCAAACGGG